rnacentral:rRNA from 1 species
UUGGAGGGCAAGUCUGGUGCCAGCAGCCGCGGUAAUUCCAGCUCCAAUAGCGUAUAUUAAAGUUGUUGCAGUUAAAGAGCUCGUAGUUGAAUUUCGGGAUCAAUGUUUCGGUCAUGCCGUUGGUAUGUACUGAUAUUAUUGAUUUCUCACCUUCUAAAGAACCGUAAUGCCAUUAAUUUGGUGUCACGGGGAAUUAGGACUGUUACCUUGAAAAAAUUAGAGUGUUUAAAGCAGGCUCACGCUUGAAUACAUUAGCAUGGAAUAAUGAAAUAGGACAUCGCAUUCUAUUUUGUUGGUUUCUAGGAUCGAUGUAAUGAUUAAUAGGGAUAGUUGGGGGCAUUAGUAUUCAAUUGUCAGAGGUGAAAUUCUUGGAUUUAUUGAAGACUAACUACUGCGAAAGCAUUUGCCAAGGAUGUUUUCAUUAAUCAAGAACAAAAGUUAGGGGAUCGAAGACGAUCAGAUACCGUCGUAGUCUUAACCAUAAACUAUGCCGACUAGGGAUCGGAUGAUGUUGAUUUUUUAAUGACUCAUUCGGCGCCUUACGGGAAAC